CGAACGCUGGCGGUGUGCUUAAUACAUGCAAGUCGAACGAUCAGGCACCUUCGGGUGUACAUAAGUGGCGGACGGGUGAGUAACACGUAGGUAAUCUGCCUUAAGGCGGGGGAUAACACCGGGAAACUGGUGCUAAUACCCCAUAUGUGACAGUCUGCAAUGACUGUCAUGAAAGCUCCGGCGCCUUUAGAUGAGCCUGCGUCUGAUUAGCUUGUUGGUGGGGUAAUGGCCUACCAAGGCGACGAUCAGUAGCUGGUCUGAGAGGAUGAUCAGCCACCAAUGGAACUGAGACACGGUCCAUACUCCUACGGGAGGCAGCAGUAGGGAAUUUUGCGCAAUGGGCGAAAGCCUGACGCAGCAACAACGCGUGUGGGAUGAAGCUUUUCGGAGUGUAAACCACUGUCAGAGGGGACGAAAACCUGACGGUACCCUCAAAGGAAAGCAUCGGCUAACUAACGUGCCCAGCAGCCGCGGUAAGACGUAGGAUGCAAGCGUUGUCCGGAAUCAUUGGGCGUAAAGCGUUCGUAGGCGGCCUGUCAAGUUCUGAUGUUAAAGCCCGGGGCUCAACCCCGGUUCAGCAUUGGAUACUGACCAGCUAGAGUACACGCAGAGGCCAAGGGAAUUCCUAGUGUAGCGGUGAAAUGCCUAGAUAUUAGGAGGAACACCGGUGGUGAAAAGCGCCUUGAUGGAUUGAACUUGACGCUUAGGGACGCAUGCCAGGGGAGCAAAUUGGGAUUAGAUACCCCAGUUAUCCCUGGCUGUAAACGAUGGAUACUAGGUGUUGCGGGUAUCGACCCCUGCAGUGCCGCAGCUAACGCGAUAAGUAUCCCGCCUGGGGAGUACGCACGCAAGUGUGAAACUCAAAGGAAUUGACGGGGACCCGCACAAGCGGUGGAACAUGUGGUUUAAUUCGAAGCAACGCGAAGAACCUUACCAGGACUUGACAUCUAGCGAAUCUUUCAGAAAUGAGAGAGUGCCUUCGGGAACGCUAAGACAGGUGGUGCACGGUUGUCGUCAGCUCGUGUCGUGAGAUGUUGGGUUAAGUCCCGCAACGAGCGCAACCCUCGUUGUUAGUUGCCAGUAACGGCAUGCUGUUACUGUGCUCUCUAGCGAGACUGCCGGUGAUAAACCGGACGAAGGUGGGGAUGACGUCAAAUCAUCAUGCCCCUUAUGUCCUGGGCUACACACGUGUUACAAUGGAUGGGACAACGAGCAGCCAGCCAGCGAUGGUGAGCAAAUCUCUUAAACCCAUUCCCAGUUCGGAUCGCAGUCUGCAACCCGACUGCGUGAAGUCGGAAUCGCUAGUAACCGUAGAUCAGCACGCUGCGCUGAAUACGUUCCCGGGUCUUGUACACACCGCCCGUCACACCAUGGGAGCUGACCACGCCCGAAGUCG
rnacentral:rRNA from 1 species